rnacentral:tRNA from 1 species
GAGAUAUUAGUAAAAUUUUACAUAACUUUGUCAAGGUUAAAUUAUAGGUUGAAUCCCUGUAUGUCUCU